GCCCAAGUGGCGGAAUUGGUAGACGCGCCGCACUCAAAAUGCGGUUUCGAAAGAAGUGUGGGUUCGAGUCCCACCUUGGGCACCA
rnacentral:tRNA from 1 species